rnacentral:rRNA from 1 species
UUCCGGUUGAUCCCGCCGGACCCCACUGCUAUCGGGAUGGGACUAAGACAUGCUAGUCGUGCGCCUCCAAGCCACGGUGGAGGCGCGGCGCACAGCUCAGUAACACGUGGCUAACCUGCCCUUGGGACGGGGACAACCCCGGGAAACUGGGGCUAAUCCCCGAUAGGUGAGGACUCCUGGAAUGGGUCCUCGCUGAAAGGGCGUCUAGACCAUGCUUCUAGACGUCGCCCAAGGAUGGGGCCGCGGCCGAUCAGGUAGUUGGUGAGGUAACGGCUCACCAAACCUAUAACCGGUACGGGCCGUGAGAGCGGGAGCCCGGAGAUGGACACUGAGACAAGGGUCCAGGCCCUACGGGGCGCAGCAGUCGCGAAACCUCCGCAAUACGCGAAAGCGUGACGGGGCCAUCCCGAGUGCCGUCCGCUGAGGACGGCUUUUCCCCAGUGUAGACAGCUGGGGGAAUAAGGGGAGGGCAAGUCGGGUGUCAGCCGCCGCGGUAAUACCCGCUCCCCGAGUGGUGGGGACGCUUAUUGGGCCUAAAGCAUCCGUAGCCGGCUGGACAAGUCCCCUGUUAAAUCCAGCGAUUCAAUCGCUGGACUGCGGGGGAUACUGUCAAGCUAGGGGGCGGGAGAGGCCGGCGGUAUUCCCGGGGUAGGGGUGAAAUCUUAUAAUCCCGGGAGGACCACCAGUGGCGAAGGCUGCCGGCUGGAACGCGCCCGACGGUGAGGGAUGAAAGCUGGGGGAGCGAACCGGAUUAGAUACCCGGGUAGUCCCAGCUGUAAACGAUGCGGGCUAGGUGUUGGCACGGCUACAAGCCGUGUCAGUGCCGCAGGGAAGCCGUUAAGCCCGCCGCCUGGGGAGUACGGCCGCAAGGCUGAAACUUAAAGGAAUUGGCGGG